AGAAUCAACGCUGGCGGCGUGCCUAACACAUGCAAGUCGAACGCGAAAGUCCCGAAAGGGAUAAGUAGAGUGGCAAACGGGUGAGUAACACGUGGGUGACCUGCCUUCGAGCGGGGGAUAACGUCCCGAAAGGGACGCUAAUACCGCAUAACAUCCUGCCUUUUAAGAGGUGGAGAUCAAAAGCCGGGGACCGCAAGGCCUGGCACUUGAAGAGGGGCCCGCGUCUGAUUAGCUAGUUGGUGGGGUAAUGGCCUACCAAGGCAACGAUCAGUA
rnacentral:rRNA from 1 species